rnacentral:rRNA from 1 species
UACGUAGGUGGCAAGCGUUGUCCGGAUUUACUGGGCGUAAAGCGCGCGCAGGCGGGUUGGUCAGUCUGGGGUGAAAUCUCACGGCUCAACCGUGAGGGGUCCCUGGAUACUGCCAGCCUUGAGGGGCUCAGAGGAGAGUGGAAUUCCGGGUGUAGUGGUGGAAUGCGUAGAUAUCCGGAGGAACACCAGUGGCGAAAGCGGCUCUCUGGGGGCAACCUGACGCUGAGGCGCGAAAGCGUGGGGAGCGAACCGG